AUGCAAGGCAUUGAAGUUGCCUCAAGAGAAAAACAAAGAGCAAAUGAAAGCACUCGUAUACUGUCAGGGAUUGAGAUCACCGAGGGCUCAAUAGCUGUAGCAAGCCUCCAUCAGCUGACUGGGCUGAGAAAACUUGCCAUUUACAAGCUCAAAGUACAGAAGGGUAGUCAGACCUCCACACAGUUGCGCUCCUCUAUUGAGCAUCUCUGCAGUUGCGGCCUGCAGACUCUCGUUAUCAAUGAUGAGGGUUCUGAUUUUAUCAACACACUGGAUUCCAUGCCCGCUCCACCAAGAUACCUCAUCGCCCUUGAGCUGUCGGGCAAGUUGGAAAGAGCUCCAGAGUGGAUCAAGAAUCUUAACAACCUCUACAAGCUAACCCUUUCCGUGACAGUUCUUCGGGCUGAUACUUUGAAGCUCCUCUGCGACCUACUUAAACUGUUCUGUCUCACCUUCUCACUCAAUGCAGCGAAGCAGCACCAGAAGGAAAUAGAGGACAUGCUUCAGGAAAAUAAAUGCCUCGGUGGUGGGGAGAUCGUUGUUCCACCUGGAGGUUUCGAGAACCUGAAGCUGCUUCGCUUCUUUGCAACUAUCGUGCCAAGGGUGACAUUUGCAGCGGAGGCAAUGCCAGCACUGGAGAGGAUCGAUAUGUGGUUCCAAGCCUUUGAAGGGGCUUACGGCAUCGACAGACUUAAAAGUAUCCAGGAGGUGCAUCUCAGCGUUGACAAUCAAGCAGAUGAAGCAACCAGAUACUUGGUUGGAUAUCUGAAGAAAAACAAACAGAAGCCAAAAAUAAUCACUGAUUGA
rnacentral:rRNA from 1 species